AUUGAACGCUGGCGGCAUGCCUAACACAUGCAAGUCGAGCGCAGCGGCGGACGGGUGAUUAAUGCCUAGGAAUCUGCCCGUUAGUGAGCGAUAACGUCCGGAAACGGGCGCUUAUACCGCAUACUAUCAGAUGAGCCUAGGUCGGCUUAGCUAGUUGGUGCGGGAAUGGCCUACCAAGGCGACGAUCCGUGACUGGUCUGAGAGGAUGAUCAGUCACACGGAGACUGAGACACGGUCCAGAAUCCUACGGGAGGCAGCAGUAGGGAAUAUUGGACAAUGGACGAAGGUCUGACCCAGCCAUGCCGCGUGUGUGAAGAAGGUUUUCGGAUUGUAAAGCACUUUAAUUUGGGAGGCGUUACCAACAGAAUAAGCAACGGCUAACUUCGUGCCAGCAGCCGCGGUAAUAC
rnacentral:rRNA from 1 species